rnacentral:rRNA from 1 species
UACAGAGGUCUCAAGCGUUGUUCGGAUUCAUUGGGCGUAAAGGGUGCGUAGGUGGCGCUGUAAGUCGGGUGUGAAAUUUCGGAGCUUAACUCCGAAACUGCAUUCGAUACUGCGGUGCUUGAGGACUGGAGAGGAGACUGGAAUUCAUGGUGUAGCAGUGAAAUGCGUAGAGAUCAGGAGGAACACCAAUUGCGAAGGCAGCUCGCUGGGACGUUACUGACGCUGAGACGCGAAAGCGUGGGGAGCAAACAGG